rnacentral:rRNA from 1 species
AUUCCAGCUCCAAUAGCGUAUAUUAAAGUUGUUGCAGUUAAAAAGCUCGUAGUUGGAUUUCUGGUUAGAUGCGCCUGGCCCGCCGACGUUCAGUCAUGUGAAGUGCUGGUGCGCAACUGCCAUCCUUCUAGAGAAGGGACCAACGGUUCAUUCCGGUUCGGUUCACAAUCUAGAUCUUUUACUUUGAAAAAAUUAGAGUGUUUAAAGCAGGCUUUUGCUAUGAAUACAUUAGCAUGGAAUAAUAAUUUAGGACUCUGUUUCUAUUUUGUUGGUUUCCGGAAACGGAGUAAUGAUUGAUAGGGAUUGUUGGGGGUGCUAGUAUUCAGCGGCCAGAGGUGAAAUUCUCGGAUUCGCUGAGGACUAACUUAUGCGAAAGCAUUCACCAAGGAAGUCUUCGUCG